UACGGAGGGCGCGAGCGUUACCCGGAUUUACUGGGCGUAAAGGGCGUGUAGGCGGCCUGGGGCGUCCCAUGUGAAAGGCCACGGCUCAACCGUGGAGGAGCGUGGGAUACGCUCAGGCUAGACGGUGGGAGAGGGUGGUGGAAUUCCCGGAGUAGCGGUGAAAUGCGCAGAUACCGGGAGGAACGCCGAUGGCGAAGGCAGCCACCUGGCUAACUUGUGACGCUGAGGCGCGAAAGCUAGGGGAGCGAACGGG
rnacentral:rRNA from 1 species